rfam:Triticum aestivum genome assembly, contig: Triticum_aestivum_CS42_TGACv1_scaffold_485184_6AS
CUUGUACUCCCUCCGUCCGAAAAUACUUGUCAUCAAAAUGAAUGAAAAUGGAUGUAUUUAGAACUAAAAUACAUCUAGAUACAUCCCCUUUUAUUCAUUUUGAUGACAAGUUUUUCCGGACUGAGGGAGUAAUAA